GACAGAGGGGGCAAGCGUUGCUCGGAAUUACUGGGCGUAAAGGGCGCGUAGGCGGGAUGGCAAGUCGGUCGUGAAAUCCCUCGGCUCAACCGAGGAACGUCGAUCGAUACUGCUGUUCUUGAGGAUUGCAGAGGAGACUGGAAUUCCCGGUGUAGCGGUGAAAUGUGUAGAGAUCGGGAGGAACACCGGUGGCGAAGGCGGCUACCUGGACAAUUGCUGACGCUCAGGCACGAAAGCGUGGGGAGCAAAAGGG
rnacentral:rRNA from 1 species